UUAUUUUCAAUAAUUGUAGGCCUUGUUGGGAUAUUAUUUCGUAUAUAGUAGUAAUAUUCCUCAAUAUUGUCUUCACAAAAAAAAAUAGUUCCUCAAAAAAAUGUAGAUAACAAAAUUUGUAUGGACCAGCCCAUAUGAAGUUGAGCUGCUUCUUUCCCACCAUAUCCCCAGCAGGCCCAAUUAUCAGCCCAACAGGCCUAUCCAAAAUGCAAAUUACAAACACAUGUUCUUAGACAACUUUGCAAUGAAUAAACAAUAUUUACUAUACAACCAUUUUAUUACAAGAAUUGUGCAAUUGAAAUGACCAAAAGAAGAUGACAAAACGUCAAAGCCUCGUACUCUUAAAUUGUUACUCUGUAGAAAGACACCAAAUCAAGGAGUGUGUCCUAAUGAAGGAAAUGGUGACUCAAGAAAAACACAAUGUUAUCCUCGUCUUCUUAAAGUCCCCAUUUACAAGAUUUAGUGUCAAGUCUUUCUAAACAUAUAAUCGAAUAUAACUUUUUAAAAUAUUAUUUAUACAUGUAGAGAUAAACUGUAAGAGCGUAGACUUUGAUCAAAUCAAAGCCUGGCAUGGGCUCGUGUUCUAGAUAAUUUGAGGUUGCUGCGACCUUUAAUGAGCCGUAUCAUGAGAACCAAACUUGUUUUCUUAAAUCUCAAUACUAGGUUCAAUUUAAAAGAUACACUAUCAGUCUAUCACCCUCCCAAAAAAAAAAAAAAAAAAAAAAAAGGAAAAAAGAAAACCGGAAAGUAUAUAUAGUCGGCGGUGUUUUUAAUACUCUGAAGUCUGAAGUUCUGAACCUUAACCUUCGUUUUCUCUCCUCCAUUGCAGCAGCUUCUGAGGGAAGUGUGUGAUAAGAAGCCCGGGAAUGGGGUAUCUAUUGGAGCAACCCUUGAGGAGAUGGAUGUUAUUUAUACAUGUUAUGGUUGAUGGAAACGAUCUAGGAAGGUGUAUCUUUCAUAAUCUUGAUCCUAAGAAGAGAGGAAGACUUAAAGGAUCAAUAAAUAAACUUAGUCCUGAAAUUGAAAGAAAGCUUGGUGAUGCUGCUCUUCAUUAUGCAUAUGGACGCUUUAAAGAUGCAAUCAACAUAUUGCUUGAAGUUGUUCAGAUAGCACCAAAUAUAUCUAAUACAUAUCAUACACUUGGCCUUGUACAUAAUUCUAUGGGUGACAAACAUAAAGCUAUGGACUUCUAUGGUAUUGCAGCAAUAAUGAAUCCGAAAGAAUCAUCUGUUUGGACGCAACUUGUGAAUUGGUCCAUUUGCACAAGCAAUGUGGCCAGAUUCAAUCAAUCAGCAUGUUGGAGGACUACCUCAAACAAUCUUCGGAAGCUGAUCUUACUGUCGUUGAUAUGUUGGCUUUGUUAUGCAUGGAAAGGAAUGAGUUUAUGAGAGCUCUUCACCACAUUGAGAAUGUCAAGGUGGUCUGUUGUCGUUCUGGAAAAGAGUUCCCGUUAAUGUUUGAAAAUUAAGUGAAGGUGUUUGUCAUGCUCAUCUUGGGAAAGUAGAGAAAGCAAUGGCAAAACAAAUGUCAAGGCUCCGAAGUUGUGAACCACCAGAGAGAAACAUUUUAGAUCCUGAAAAUGUUGAUCUCAACCUCUGAAGCAGCCUCCAUUGCCUGACCUCUUCAAGGACAAGGAGCAUUCAGCUUUGAUCUUAGAUGUCAGUCUUCAUAUCUUAUGUUAUACUAAUACUUCUUGCUUGAAUCAUGGAGCUUAUAAAGCUCACUUUGAAAGUAGCUUACAAGACAUUGCCUGCUGGGAAGAAGGAACUGUUUGGUCUCUCGGUGCAAAAGUAGCAUUGAGCAGCAUUGACCCCUUGGAGGGGUUUGACUUUGUACGCUACUCUGUUCAGAAGCAUCCACAGAGUAUUGCUGCCUGGAAUUGCUAUUACAGAUUAGUCUUAAGGAAGCCUUGUACAAUAUAGCUCGUGCAUCCCACCACGUCGAACUUGUCUCAUUGGCAGCUAACUAUUAUGAAAAAGUUCUCACAAUAUACCAAGAAGAUUGCCCCUUACCGGAGUUUCUCAAGUGGCAUAAAGAUCCUAUAAAAAGAUCCAGAUUUUGGCUACUGUAAUCUUCAUAGGGAGGCAGCAUACAAUUUGCAUUUGAUCUAAAAAAAGGAGUGGAGCAAAUGAUCUUGCAAGGCAAGGGUAUUGAGGGAUUAUUGCACCUUGUAAGAUGUCUAUAUUAUGAAUGUACAGGGGAGGAAGUCAAUAUAGGCCGUGCGCCAUACAGUGGCGGAGCCAGGAUUUAUAAUUCGGGGGGACAAAUUUUGGAGGUUAAAGUUUCGGCAAAAAUCUCAAGAAAAAAAUUGAUAACCUAAAUUGUUUAAUAUUUAUUUGAAAUCACAUGCCAAUUAUUUCUAUAUGGAAAAAGAGGGGUAAAAAAGUUUUAUUGUAUAUUAAGAAAAUUAUCCAACAAAAAUGAAUAAAUUUAUAUUUGUAAAUCCUGUUAUGUAAUCACAUAAUUGAUAAAUACGAAUUAAUUACCUUAUCAUAAAGUCAAAUAAUUAUCGUUAAAACAAAUUGAUGGUAGAUAUGAAGGGCCAGGGUUUGAGUUACAUUCGAAAAAAUAAACUCAACUUUUUCAAAUCAAUCAUAUUAUUAAUAUGUAUUUCGUUAAAACACAGUUACAAACAAUUAAUUAAUAGUAAUCUAUUUAUUAGAAAUGUAAAAAAAAAUUGAGUUUAAGCACACUUAGUUAAGCGAUAAUUAAAAACAAGAAGUAGGAAAUAAGAAAUAACAUUAAAAAUCCUAAAACAAGAAAUAGGAAAUAAAAAAUCAAAUUAAAAAGGUUGUUGAAAAUUAGAGUAUGUAAUAAAAAAAACAAGAAGUAGGGGAAAAAAAAAACAAAAAAGCUGAAAAACAGUAGAGUAGGGAAUCGAACCUAGGACCAAAACACAGCCUUACUAAGGACUCAACCACCAAACCAUAUUCAAUAUUGUGAUAUCUACUGUAAGUAUAUGUUAUUUAUAGCCUUUUACUGUAUUUUCUUGAUUUUUUUUUUUUAAAAAAAAACUUUUUUUCCGAAAAUGGGGGGACAACUGUCCCCCCUUGUUCUAAUGUGGCUCCGCCACUGGCGCCAUA